AGAGUUUGAUCCUGGCUCAGAUUGAACGCUGGCGGCAUGCUUUACACAUGCAAGUCGAACGGUAACAGGGAGCUUGCUCCGCUGACGAGUGGCGAACGGGUGAGUAAUGCAUCGGAACGUACCCAGUCGUGGGGGAUAACGUAGCGAAAGUUACGCUAAUACCGCAUACGUCCUGAGGGAGAAAGCGGGGGACCGAAAGGCCUCGCGCGAUUGGAGCGGCCGAUGUCGGAUUAGCUAGUUGGUAGGGUAAAGGCCUACCAAGGCGACGAUCCGUAGCGGGUCUGAGAGGAUGAUCCGCCACACUGGGACUGAGACACGGCCCAGACUCCUACGGGAGGCAGCAGUGGGGAAUUUUGGACAAUGGGCGCAAGCCUGAUCCAGCCAUGCCGCGUGAGUGAAGAAGGCCUUCGGGUUGUAAAGCUCUUUCAGGUGGAAAGAAAACGCAUGGGUCAAUACCCUGUGUGGAUGACGGUACCAUCAGAAGAAGCACCGGCUAACUACGUGCCAGCAGCCGCGGUAAUACGUAGGGUGCGAGCGUUAAUCGGAAUUACUGGGCGUAAAGCGUGCGCAGGCGGUUGUGUAAGACAGAUGUGAUAUCCCCGGGCUCAACCUGAGAACUGCGUUUGUGACUGCACAACUUAGAGUACGGCAGAAGGAGGUGGAAUUCCGCGUGUAGCA
rnacentral:rRNA from 1 species